rnacentral:rRNA from 1 species
UACGGAGGGUGCAAGCGUUGUCCGGAUUUAUUGGGUUUAAAGGGUGCGUAGGCGGCCGUUUAAGUCCGGGGUGAAAGCCCACUGCUCAACAGUGGAACUGCCCUGGAAACUGGACGGCUUGAGUACAGACGAGGGUGGCGGAAUGGAUGCUGUAGCGGUGAAAUGCAUAGAUAGCAUCCAGAACACCGAUUGCGAAGGCAGCUGCCUAGACUGUAACUGACGCUGAGGCACGAAAGCGUGGGGAGCGAACAGG